rnacentral:lncRNA from 1 species
GCUUCGACUUCCGGGUGAGACCGUGAAGGUGUGGCGCGACGUUGGAGACCGGGGCAGCGCCAUGUACCACAGUGGAUGGAAGGAUGCGCGGUGCGGCGGGGCAGCUGUCCUCUUCUCCCCGGACCCAGCGCCUGGAGAGCCAGCCCUGCAGGGUGGGCUGGGCGAGCCAAACUGCGUUCCUGGUGCAGGGCUUCGGGUCUCCCUAACAGACCUUAUACGCUGACCGGCGGCCGCCAUGGCAGUGUCUCUUUGCUCAGACAUCCAGGGACGACCACAUUCGUCCAACAGCGGUCGCUCCACCAAUCCUGGGAGAAGCGAAUCGUUUUCUCCGCGUGCCCUGUCAGCCGCUCAUGGUGCCCAGAGAGGAAUUUUAGUGGCAGCAUUCCGGCUGUCACGCCACCGAAAUUGCCAGGCCACUCCAAGUCAGAAGGACCACCAGGAAAAGUCAGGAAGAGAACCACCAUCAGGUCCCAGCCUCUUUUUGUGACAAGGACUAGAGGGUUUGGGUCUGCAGUGGGCUGGCUCCCGCUGGGCUCACCUGUCCUAUAGAGCAGGCUGCCUCAAGGAAGAAGCUCACAGGGGACAUCUGACAUCUGAAACAGCAAGUGUAAAAUGCUUUAAAUAAGCCAAAACUAAACCAAUCGUUAUGUUAACUAAAAAUACAUGAAUGCUACCGAAGAUAGUCGAAUAUUAGAGGAAGAGAUUAAACUCUGAUUUUGAGCACUUUGUGCUUUAUUCGGAAAAUGAAUAAGAUGCAGUUCUGAAAACCUGAAAAUAUAAAGAAUAGGAUAUGAUACGCACACUAGAUGAAAACAAAACUUUCAGACCAUAUUUUCUUAUUUAAAGCUCUAAUAAGUGAGAUAGCAGAGUAAACUAUUCACUCAAAUAAUUAGUAACUGAUAUAAGGGUAUGUAUCAAUAACAGGUAUUAAGACAAAAACUUUAUGAGCUUUUCCAUUUUAACAAGGGAUGAUGAUUCUAGACUUCUGCCACAACAUUAUGGUCGACAAAACAUUCUUAAUUCAUUUUACAUAGAUCUGACUCUAGAUUCUGAAACAGCAAGUCAUAAUCUUGUAUCUCUAAAGAUAGAAUACAGUGCGAUUUGGAAAGACACCACAAAAACUCAUGAUCCAAAAAAGAUUAAGGCUGUUAUUACCAGGAGGAAGAGAAAGAGGACAAAAUCAAACUGGAUAGAUAUAAUAGAGUUGUUUGUUAGAAUUGUCUUCCCAGGAGAUGGAAAAAGACGCCAUCACAAUAGGAUUCAUGCUUUAGUUUUCAGCUAUAGAAAUGUAAUAACUUUGCCAAAGUAAUUACACUACAUAGAGUGGCAAUCGUUCUAUUAAAAGUAAGACCCAGUAAUGUUAGGAUUUGUUCUGGACAAUGAAGGGGAUGAGGUUUAAUCUUAUGACUUGAAUGCCAGGUCUGAAAUCUUUUCUUCAAGUGAUAUUUUUAUGAAACUACUUAGGCUGUGUUUCACACUGGGUAUGAUUUCUAACCUCUUAUAACCUGUACAGUAAUAGAUUAUGAAGGAUGAAUUAUUUGAAAGCUAUUUUGUAUUAUUUAGGAGAGGAGCUCUUCAAUUCUGAAUUGUCUGCCACUUACAAGCAGAAGAAAGUUUUUUUCUUUCAUUAUUUUAGCAACUAUCAAUAAAACAGUAUUAGAAAUGCCUACUCUUCAGAGAUGUAAUGGGAAUAAAUUGUAAAGUACUUUUGAUAUUCUAAGAUGAAAGAUGGUAUUACACAGUCAAUAAUUCAAUGCUUCCCACAUUAUGAAUUUUAUCAAAAUUAUGUAGAGAGCUAUUAGUUCAUUCCAGCAACAAAACAGGCUUAUAUAAAAACAAAAACCUCCUGGGUCAUGCCAUCCUACACCAAAUUCCUGUUAAACAGAGGCAUGAUUUAUUCCAGUGACCUUGCUAUUUCUUCAUAACUGUAAUAUGUCUAAUGUUAGACAUUUUAAAUUAACAUUCUAUUAGAUAAACUGAGAAUUUAGGUCUCUCGCACCACCCAGGCACAUACUCUAUCUUUCCCCACAAAUAUCCAAAUAUGGUAAUAUAAUUGGAUUAAUACGUUCAUAUGACUAUAUAAUUGUUCACAGCUGAGCCACUUAGGUGCUAUAAUUAUAAUUUCUUUGAUACACAAAUUUUGUUUUAUUGUGAUUAAAAUUGCCUGAUUUCUUACUUGCUGCA